AUUGAACGCUGGCGGCAUGCUUUACACAUGCAAGUCGAACGGCAGCGCGGGCUUCGGCCUGGCGGCGAGUGGCGAACGGGUGAGUAAUGCAUCGGAACGUGCCCAGUAGUGGGGGAUAGCCCGGCGAAAGCCGGAUUAAUACCGCAUACGACCUGAGGGUGAAAGCGGGGGACCGAAAGGCCUCGCGCUAUUGGAGCGGCCGAUGUCGGAUUAGCUAGUUGGUGGGGUAAAGGCUUACCAAGGCGACGAUCCGUAGCUGGUCUGAGAGGACGACCAGCCACACUGGGACUGAGACACGGCCCAGACUCCUACGGGAGGCAGCAGUGGGGAAUUUUGGACAAUGGGGGCAACCCUGAUCCAGCCAUGCCGCGUGCGGUAAGAAGGCCUUCGGGUUGUAAACCGCUUUUGUUCGGGAAGAAAUCCUCUGGGCUAAUACCCCGGGGGGAUGACGGUACCGGAAGAAUAAGCACCGGCUAACUACGUG
rnacentral:rRNA from 1 species